AGCAGUGAUAAACAUUAAGCAAUAAGUGAAAACUUGACUUAGUUAAGGCUAUAUAAGGGCCGGUAAAACUCGUGCCAGCCACCGCGGUUAUACGAGAAGGCCCAAGUUGAUCAAUGCCGGCGUAAAGAGUGGUUAAGAAAAAGAACUACUAAAGUCAAACGCCCUCAUAACUGUUAUACGUAUACGAGGGUCUGAGGAACUAUUACGAAGGUAACUUUAAUGCAUCUGAACCCACGAAAGUUAGGACACAAACUGGGAUUAGAUACCCCACUAUGCCCAACUGUAAAUAUAGAUAAGACCGUACAUUUUAUCCGCCAGGGGACUACGAGCACUAGCUUAAAACCCAAAGGACUUGGCGGUGCUUUAGACCCACCUAGAGGAGCCUGUUCUAGAACCGAUAACCCCCGUUAAACCUCACCUCCUCUUGUUAAGUCCGCCUAUAUACCGCCGUCGUCAGCUUACCCUGUGAAGGUCAAAUAGUAAGCAAAAUUGGUACAGCCCAAAACGUCAGGUCGAGGUGUAGCGUAUGAGGAGGGAAGAAAUGGGCUACAUUCUCUAUAUUAGAGAACCACGGAAGGUGCACUGAAAACUCACCCAAAGGAGGAUUUAGCAGUAAGUGGGCAACAGAGUGUCCCACUGAAACCGGCCCUGAAGCGCGCACACACCGCCCGUCACUCUCCCUAAUAGACAAAGUGAAUAUAACUAAAACAUGCAGCCAAACAAAGGGGAGGCAAGUCGUAACAUGGUAAGUGUA
rnacentral:rRNA from 1 species